rnacentral:rRNA from 1 species
UACGUAGGGUGCGAGCGUUAAUCGGAAUUACUGGGCGUAAAGCGUGCGUAGACGGCUAUCUAAGUCGGGUGUGAAAUCCCCGGGCUCAACCUGGGAAUUGCAUUCGAGACUGAAUAGCUAGGGUACGGUAGAGGGAAGCGGAAUUUCCGGUGUAGCGGUGAAAUGCGUAGAUAUCGGAAGGAACAUCAGUGGCGAAAGCGGCUUCCUGGACCAGUACCGACGUUCAGGCACGAAAGCGUGGGGAGCAAACAGG